AUUGAACGCUGGCGGCAGGCCUAACACAUGCAAGUCGAGCGGGAGGCGGACGGGUGAGGAAUGUAAGGGGACUGCCCGAUAGAGGGGGAUAACGAAUCGAAACGGUAGCUAAUACAGCAUACGAUCGGAUAAGCCAUAUGGGAUUAGCUAUUAGGUGAGGUAAUGGCUCACCUAGGCGACGAUCCCUAGCUGGUCUGAGAGGAUGAUCAGCCACACUGGGACUGAGACACGGCCCAGACUCCUACGGAGGCAGCAGUGGGGAAUAUUGCACAAUGGGCGCAAGCCUGAUGCUGCCAUGCCGCGUGUAUGAAGAAGGCCCUAGGGUUGUAAAGUACUUUCAGUCGGGAGGCGUUACCGACAGAAGAAGCACCGGCUAACUCCGUGCCAGCCGCCGCGGUAAUUC
rnacentral:rRNA from 1 species